ACGGGUGAGUAACACGUGAGCAACCUGCCCUCCACUUCGGGAUAAGCCUUGGAAACGGGGUCUAAUACCGGAUAUGAGCACCUUCCGCAUGGUGGGUGUUGGAAAGUUUUUCGGUGGGGGAUGGGCUCGCGGCCUAUCAGCUUGUUGGUGGGGUAAUGGCCUACCAAGGCGUCGACGGGUAGCCGGCCUGAGAGGGCGACCGGCCACACUGGGACUGAGACACGGCCCAGACUCCUACGGGAGGCAGCAGUGGGGAAUAUUGCACAAUGGGCGAAAGCCUGAUGCAGCGACGCCGCGUGAGGGAUGACGGCCUUCGGGUUGUAAACCUCUUUCAGCAGGGAAGAAGGCCUUCGGGUGGACGGUACCUGCAGAAGAAGCGCCGGCUAACUACGUGCCAGCAGCCGCGGUAAUACGUAGGGCGCAAGCGUUGUCCGGAAUUAUUGGGCGUAAAGAGCUCGUAGGCGGUCUGUCGCGUCUGGUGUGAAAACCCGAGGCUCAACCUCGGGCUUGCAUCGGGUACGGGCAGACUAGAGUGCGGUAGGGGAGACUGGAAUUCCUGGUGUAGCGGUGGAAUGCGCAGAUAUCAGGAGGAACACCGAUGGCGAAGGCAGGUCUCUGGGCCGCAACUGACGCUGAGGAGCGAAAGCAUGGGGAGCGAACAGGAUUAGAUACCCUGGUAGUCCAUGCCGUAAACGUUGGG
rnacentral:rRNA from 1 species